GUGUGCUAGGCGGGAAGCCAGCGGUGUCCUGUAACCUGCAAUCCGCUAUAGCAGGGCUGAAUUCCAAUCUGCGAGAUUUGAUGUCUGUCUGUUUGUUAUGCAAGUGGUGUUGAGAGUCAAGUCUAACGCAAUCGGGCUCUGCGAAUCUUGUCAGGACCGGAAGGUAGCAGCAAUAAGCAGUUCGUCUGAUGUGCCGUUAGUAAUCUUGGCUUGAGCUAACUACAUAAUGUCUUUCAGAAUAGAAUUUCAAUGUGCGGUGCACAC
rnacentral:SRP_RNA from 1 species